CUCUCACACUUUGAAAACCCCUGGUUUAGAGCUAUACUAACGUUAGCGUCUGGAGGGAUAUACACUGCCAUAAUGAUUACUACAGUUAUCUCUCUAAAUAGAAAGGGCGGCAGAUGACCGUCAAUGCCUCUAUGUGUGGGGAACAGUAGCUGUGGGUUGCUCGGCUCUGUGAACACCAGUUAUUAUUUACAUACAUACAAACUCCGCCUCCUCUGCUCUUUCCGGAGUCUCUGUUCCUGUCGUGUCGGUGGAUAGUGCGGCCGGAUAACUGCACAGCGUUAUCGGGGAUGGCAGGAUGGAGCCAGGUUUCAGUCAGAAUCAUCACACAACAAUCCCUGACAAAGUUGUCAGUUGCUAUCCGCAGCUCGAGGUCAUCCAUUUUGGGAACGAUGGAUCUUACAUUUGCAAGAAAGAUACUUGGUAGCGGGGGCUUGUGUGGGUGCUUCUUUAGCCUCGUAAGCAGACCGGCUCGACAUCCUCUCUUUUGCUUCCUGUUCCUCCGCCGUCGUCGCAGCUUCUGAGAGCCGACAACAAUCCAUGGAGACCCCGGUGUCCUUAAUAUUUCGUGCGGUAUAUUGUGCGUCUGUUCAAAAUAGUCCGUUACUGGAACACUGCUUUGUAUGCCGUUGGAGUGAAUAAAGUCCUGAAAAAAAUCCUUAUUUACAGCCUGUUCGGCCCGAAAUCCAUUGCGGAUUAGAUCCUGACGACUGUAGACAAGAUUUCCCCAGCUGACGUUACGAUUGAAAAACAAAUUUAUGUACAAAAACACUAAGAAAAAGCACCGAAAAGGAGAGCUCAAAGCCGCUGCGUCUGGACGCGCCGCCAUAGCAACGCUAUUUUGUCUCACAGCAAGGCUCUUAAUCAUAUGAAGAAGCCAGUGUGAUGAUGUCGAUGUUGGACGAGAGUGCAUUUUCAAGGGAGUCUGCAUCUACAUGGGUGAAAAUCCAGAAAACCUUGUGCAUGAUUACGCGGGCAUGGAUGGAGACGCCUUCAAUGCUGCUAUUGAAAAAACCACGGUCGGGAUUUAUAAAAGAGAAUGAGGCAAGUGAAGAAUCUGAGGACAUUGGAGUUGUCCUCGAAGGCAUCGGGUUGUUAAGAGAUUUAGACAAUAUAUCAUUAGCGGUUGCUAUGCUUUUUGGACUGAUGUACGCACUGAACAUCAGCUACCCCGCCGACCUCCGGUACACCUUUGAGGUAGUACAGAAGAUACUCGCGCUGAAAAACCGUCUCUUCCAAUGAACGGGUCAAACACAGCGCUGCCUCUCGGUAAACCUCAGAUGAUCACUGGCCUUAAUUUGUGUUAUUCAUUUCUGUUCCUUAUUUGGUGUAUAAACAUGUGUUGCUCUAGGUAUUCUAGGUUUCUAUUGAUAGUGAUAAGUUUAUUUUUUGUGUGUUGAGCCACUGCUGUGAUAGUAUCCAGUUUGUGUGUUCAGCCACUGCUGUUGAUGGUAUCCAGUUUGUGUGUUCAGCCACUGCUGUUGAUGGUAUCCAGUUUGUGUGUUCAGCCAGUGCUGUUGAUGGUAUCCAGUUUGUGUGUUCAGCCAGUGCUGUUGAUGGUUAUCCUGUUUAGUGGAAGAGGCAAUGUGCUUGUUACCAUGUGAAUGGAUCUGCACUCCAUAUUUUGUACGGAAGCAAGUGUGUGUUUGUGAAUUACCAUAAUGUAUAGCUGUUGGCUAAUGACAUGUUGCAACACAAAGGGAGAGCGGUAAAAAAAUGGGCCAGAAAUUCCCAGUAUAUUGCCUUAUGUUCAGUCAGGGCCACUUAUGAUAACUUUGACUGUUCUAGGCAAAUACAUUUUUAUAUUGAGACAGCGAAAACAGUAAAUGUGGUAUUUGACAGUGAAUCCGCUGCUGUUGAUGCAGGGUAUCCAGUUUGAAUUUUGAUUCAUCUUACAUCUGUUUACGGCAACUGCACAGAUUUGUCUGUUUUCCUGAAUGUUUUAAAGCUCAAUACAGAAAAUUUGAGUACAAAUGACUGACUUUUUCUCCUGUAUUUUGUAUUUCCACACACUAAAUCAUGAAAUUGAUCUAUAAAAUACAUUUGGAUAGCUUAUUUGAACAAAUCAAGUUAGAUUUAUAUACCUAAAUUGGAUACCAGAGACAUUAUCAAAUUGCCUUAAAAAGUUACAUAAAUAGUGGAUAAUAUAAGCAUUAAGAAAUAAAGUUGGAGUUAUAGUUGAAAAUCUGGUACCCCUAUGAUGCAAUCAUUUUAACAUUACACUGUAAAAAAUAAAAAGUUAAUUCAACUUGAAAUUUCAAGGCAACUGUCUGCACAGAAUUUUUGGGUUUUCAUGUCAACUCAAACAUCACAGUUGUGCAAACUUAAUUCUUACAGUUGUACCAACUAAUUCC